rnacentral:snRNA from 1 species
GGGCUCAAUUCAGCAGUAUGUGGAUUAAAAUUGGAAUGCCGCAGAGAUUAGCAUGGCUCCUGUGCAGAAAUGCCAUACCAAUUCUUGAAGCAUGCCAUAUUUUC